rnacentral:rRNA from 1 species
AGCAGCCGCGGUAAUUCCAGCUCCAAUAGCGUAUAUUAAAGUUGUUGCAGUUAAAAAGCUCGUAGUUGAAUUUCGGGGUUAGUAAGUUGGUCAUGCCUUCGGUAUGUACUGGCUUUACUGAUUCCUCCUUCUUGACGAACCGUGAUGUCAUUAAUUUGGUGUUGCGGGAAAUCAGGACUGUUACUUUGAAAAAAUUAGAGUGUUUAAAGCAGGCUAACGCUUGAAUACAUUAGCAUGGAAUAAUGAAAUAGGACGUUAAUCCUAUUUUGUUGGUUUCUAGGAUCGACGUAAUGAUUAAUAGGGAUAGUUGGGGGCAUUAGUAUUCAAUUGUCAGAGGUGAAAUUCUUGGAUUUAUUGAAGACUAACUACUGCGAAAGCAUUUUGCCAAGGAUGUUUUCAUUAAUCAAGAACGAAAGUUAGGGGAUCGAAGACGAUCAGAUACCGUCGUAGUCUUAACCAUAAACUAUGCCGACUAGGGAUCGGAUGAUGUUAAUUUUUUAAUGACUCAUUCGGCGCCUUA